GAUGAACGCUAGCGGCAGGCCUAAUACAUGCAAGUCGAACGGUGUAGCAAUACACAGUGGCGCACGGGUGCGUAACACGUAUGCAACCUACCUUACAUUGGGGGAUAGCCUUUCGAAAGGGAGAUUAAUACCGCAUAAGACAGUAACUAGGCAUCUAGUAGCUGUUAAAGAUUUAUCGAUGUAAGCUGGGCAUGCGUCCAAUUAGCUAGUUGGUGAGGUAACGGCUCACCAAGGCAAUGAUUGGUAGGGGAACUGAGAGGUCAAUCCCCCACACUGGCACUGAGAUACGGGCCAGACCCCUACGGGAGGCAGCAGUAGGGAAUAUUGGGCAAUGGGCGCAAGCCUGACCCAGCCAUGCCGCGUGCAGGAAGAAGGCGUUAUGCGUUGUAAACUGCUUUUAUACAGGAAGAAACGACCCUUGCGAGGGGCAUUGACGGUACUGUAUGAAUAAGCACCGGCUAACUCCGUGCCAGCCGCCGCAGUAAUAC
rnacentral:rRNA from 1 species